UCCUCCUCUGCAGCUGCUUAUAAUGACCUGCUUUGGUGAGUCUCCAUCCAUCCUGAACUCCCAUGGGCACCAGGCUCCUUUUCUAUGUGGGCUUCUGUCUCCUGGGAGCAGACCACGCCCAUCCUGGAGUCUCCCAGUCCCCCAGGCACAGGGUCACAAAGAGAGGAAAGAAUGUAGUUCUCAGGUGUGAUCCAAUUUCUGGACACAGUGGCCUUCAGUGGUACCAACAGACUACGGGGCAAGACCUGGAGUUCCUGAUGUCUUUCCAGUAUGAAUGUGCAGCAGAUGAGUCAGGGAUGCGCAGUGAGCGGUUCUCUGCUGAGAGGCCACAGGGAUCCUUCUCCACACUGGAAACCAAGCUCACAGAGCCUGGGGACUCGGCUGUGUACCUCUGUGCCAGCAGCUCAGCCACAGUGUAGCACAAGCUCCUCCUUCCUGAUCACAAAACUCAUCCUUCUCUCUCUUUGCAGCUCUGAGACACCUAGUGUUCUUUCUUUGCUCUUCAACCUUCAAGGGAAGGUGGUGGACUAGGAUGUCAGCUGGCCUUUGAGUAGAAAGAGGUCACAGAAGGACUUCCAAGGAUGGGCAGGAUUGGGUUUCUGAGAUUCCUUUCAUUUUGUAGCAUUUGCUUUGCCUUCUGUUUCAUCCUGCGUUCUCAUCCAUCUGGAGGGCAAUGCCUCUGGAUUUGCUUAUGGCUCUUGGGGAGGUUUCUGUGGUUCCCUUGGAUCCAGAAGUCAGUCAUUUCAAUAGCUCAGCUCUCCCCCCCCCCCAUAGGCAGCCAGGACAGUGAGACACACAGCAGAGCUUGUGCAGCUUUCAGAGCAUCACGUUAGGCAUCCUAGAAUGAGGGGUCAUCGAAGGGCAGUUGUCCACACCUAACUCUUUUAGUCCAGUUUAAAAGCUACAUGAACAAAGGUCAUGUGAUCUGCCCAUAUGAGAGGUCUCUGUCAUUAUGAGCUGAUUUCAAAGAUGGGGAAAAUCAUUCUCAUCAAGAUGGUUCUCAACAUGAAUGGAAUAGGGAGUUGUGUCAGGGAAACCCUAGGACAAUCAAGGACUUGGAGCAAUUCUAACUCAGCGUGGAGCCAGGGACUCAGGCGCAGAUGCUUGGAACUGGAGACAGUUCUUUGGGUGACAUAGCAGACCUGGAAUGAGCUCUAUUAUCCAGCACAGAGUCUCCUGGCAUUGCACCAACAUGCCUUUAGCUCCCUCCACUCCUCUUUUAUUUCCAGAACCAUCUCUCCCUCACAGAUGCUCCCAUCAGCAGGUGUGCAUUGUCCAAGUCCUUCUUGGUGUAGGAUGCCCUUGGUCCCCCUUCCCUCUGCCCACCACUGCCUUCCCCAUGAGAUACUGUUCCGUACAUGAUUGUAGCCUUAAGGUUAGCCCACAUUUUCUUACAUUCUAAUUCUACUUUUCAUUCACCCAUUUAACUUUGUCUUGAAGUUGACCUCAUUACAUGCCCAGGUCUUUGCUCAUAUAUACUUUUGAAUUAACAGUGACAGGCAUUGGUUGUGGUGGUUUGGAUUUCUUGACAUUUUUUAUUUAUCUUGAGUAAUAGAGUAAAGAAACUUACACUUCAAUUCCUGUGUUUUCUUACUAAUAGUUUUACACUAUAUAUUAUUUCCUGUCAUUCCUCUCAUUUUAUUUCUCUGCAUUUAGAAGACAAUUUGAAGGGUGAAGAUCUCAGAUCAAAACUGCCAUGUCUGUGAGUGAAGACUGAUGGUGUUUUAUGAAGCGUGGCAACUGAAAGAAAUAGUCAGAAUUAGUAUCAGCGUUGGGAUUAGGGUUUAAGGAAGUUGAUCCUAAAACUUCCAUUACUACUUGUGGAAUUCUAUCCUAAUUUUGGAGUGGACGCUUUAUCACUGCCUGGCCACAAGAUGGCACUGUGAGGCCAUUGGGCUCCAGUGAUCUCAGGAAGAGUCUGAGAGAGCAGCCUAGGAAGAGAAGGGUUAAGAACAUCCUGGACUUGGGUCCCACAUCAGGUUGGUGUUGAGAAGUUUUCAGUUAUUAUUCAGCUACCUACAUCGCUGGGAGGGGUAGGAGGUCCCUCUAAGCUGAGAUGCACAGUUGAAGAAUGUGGGCAGGACAGCUGCAGGUGUCCAGGCAGCUACAGAUGGAGCACAAACUGCCCCAGAGGGAGGAGGGAAACCACAAGUGGGGGUGCCCCAACUCAGUGCACUGCUGCCACACCCACCGUCCCCCAGUUCUUGCUAAGCAGCAGCAUCCAUGAGUGGAGUGUUUGAUUUGCCUGAGCCAGUGGGGAGGCCCCUGGGCCAGGGAGAACCCACAGGGUGUGGAGGAGUGGCAUGAGGGCCCCACCUCUCAGGUGCCUGGAGAGGAGCCUCAGAGCCCCAGCUGUCAUCCUGUGGUCACAGCAUUAGCUGGGAGAGCUCCUUUCCAUGGGGACCUGCAUGAACCCCAGACUCUUCUGUGUGACGCUUUGUCUCCUGGGAACCGGCCUCAUGGACGCUGUGAUCACCCAGAGGCCCCGACACCUUAUCUACACAUGGGAAAAAAGACAAUCCUGGAGUGUUCUCAGAACCUGAACCAUUAUGCAAUGUUCUGGUACCGACAAGACCCAGGACAGGGGCUGAGGCUGCUGCACUACUCAGGCAGUGUUGGCAGCACAGCUGAAGGAGAAGCCUCCCAAGGGUCCAGUGCCUCCAGGGAUCAGAAGGAGCAUUUCCCCCUGACCCUGGAGUCCCCCAGCACCAGCCAGUCCUCCCUGUACCUCUGUGCCAGCAGCGAAGCCACAGCAGGGCACAGCCAGCUGCUCUCUGCACAAGAAGCGCAGCCACAGGGUUCAGGUGGACUCUCCUUCCAGAGCCCCUGCCUCAGCCAGCAGAGAACAUUGUUCUGAACCCCUCCAAGACUGCCAGCCUCAGCCCCUGGGCCUUGUACAGCAUGGAUAUGAGAGCUAGGUUCACGUGUGUGUGUGUGUGUGUGUGUGUUGUCCUGACAUACAAAUAACAUUCAAUGUCACUUUUCUCAACUGAGGAUUCUAGUAAUUGAUUCAAGGAGAGAAAAUCACUUCAACAUGAAAUUUGGAUUAUAUUUUCUUUUCCAGGGAGAAGAACAAUGCAGAUAAUCUAGGAUUUUCUUAGUUUACUUCCAUUGCAGAAAGUCACUUUUAAUUCCAUUAGAUCCCAAGCAAACAUACCCUGUUAAAUAAAUCUCAUUAACAAGUUUUAAAACACACCCAUAAACUAUCCAGAGAGGGGAAAUGAUGUUAGAGGCACCAAAAUACCAUUAGAUCUGAAGAAAAUACAUUAGGAGAAUUAUAAAAAAAAAAAGAGAGACAAUAAACGAAGUCUUCACAGAACUGUGUUGAAUCUUAUGGUAGUUUGAAAUAGGACCUUGGUUCUUCAUUGUGUUGGCUGGGAUUAAAAUCCAUGAUCACCUUAAUGUUCUUCUUACAAAGUAUUACAGCAUAAUAUUGGACAACCAUUUUAUCUUCCUCCAGCCCAUCUUCCUCCUUGGGACCUGCAGAACAGGUCCACACACAUAAGCAUGAUUUCUAAACUGGGACCCAUUUUCUGCAUGACCAUGAGGCUUACAGCUGGGAUUCUAAGAACACAGAAAACCCAAGUGUCUAUGGUGCACACUGUGCACCUCUAUGAGGCUGCCAGAGGCGUGCACCUGCUCACCCAGGGCCCUGUGUGUGAAGAGGGGAGCAGGCAGCUUGUUGGUAAAAUGUCAGUUUACAGAUGAUGAAUGGAUGAAAGCUCAGAUGAAUGAUUGAUUGGUGAGACUGAUGGAGACUGGUUCCCCAAGUUUUGACACUUCGAGCAAUUUAUGAAUGAGUCCAGCAGCCUUGUGGAUUUUUUCCUAAGUUUCUGUUAGUCUACAACUUUAAUUCAGCAAUCAAUGCUCAGAUGUUUUUUUUCUCCAACUUGUUAAUGUGGCUUAUUUUGAUGCUAAAUUUUUAUGUUGUAUAUUUCAUUCCUGAACACUUUUAUAGUCUAAGUA